UGCUACAGUGUAGUGGUUUGAACGUUGGACUGCGACUCUGGAGACUAGGGUUCGAUUCCCUGCUCAGCCA